UUUUAUGGUCAAGCUACUAAGGGCGCACGGUGGAUGCCUUGGCAUCGGGAGGCGAUGAAGGACGUGGUAAGCUGCGAAAAGCUUCGGCGAGCCGCUAAACAGGCUUUGACCCGGAGAUGUCCGAAUGGGGAAACCCGGCAGGGAUUAUGCCCUGUCAUCGCAUGGUGAAUACAUAGCCAUGCGAGGCGAACGCAGGGAACUGAAACAUCUAAGUACCUGCAGGAGAAGAAAUCAACAGAGAUUCCGUCAGUAGCGGCGAGCGAACGCGGAAUAGCCCAAACCGAGACCACUACGGUGGUUUCGGGGUUGUGGGGCCCCGACGUGGGAUUGGUGAAGAAUAGCAGAAGGCUCUGGAAAGUGCCGCCAUAGUGGGUGAUAGCCCCGUAUGCGAAAUUCUGAUCCACCCUAGGGUGUCCCCGAGUACCACGGGACACGUGAAAUCCUGUGGGAAGCUGGGAGGACCAUCUUCCAAGGCUAAAUACUCCCCGAUGACCGAUAGCGCAUAGUACCGUGAGGGAAAGGUGAAAAGAACUCCGAUAAGGAGAGUGAAAUAGAACCUGAAACCGUGUGCCUACAAGCAGUGGGAGCCCUAUGACUUCGGUCAGGGUGACCGCGUGCCUUUUGCAUAAUGAGUCAGCGAGUUACGCUCAGCAGCGAGGUUAAGCCGAUCGAGGUGGAGCCGCAGCGAAAGCGAGUCUGAAUAGGGCGACUCAGUUGCUGGGAGUAGACCCGAAACCGGGUGAUCUAUCCAUGGGCAGGUUGAAGCGGAGGUA
rnacentral:rRNA from 2 species